rnacentral:rRNA from 1 species
GAUGAACGCUAGCGGCAGGCUUAAUACAUGCAAGUCGAGGGGCAGCAGGACUGUAGCAAUACAGUUGCUGGCGACCGGCAAACGGGUGCGGAACACGUACGCAACCUACCCAAAACUGGGGGAUAGCCCGGGGAAACCCGGAUUAAUACCUCGUAACCUUUUUAAGUGGCAUCACUUGAUAAGUAUAGCUCCGGCGGUUUUGGAUGGGCGUGCGCCUGAUUAGGUAGUUGGUGCGGGUAACGGCCCACCAAGCCUGCGAUCAGUAACUGGUGUGAGAGCACGACCAGUCACACGGGCACUGAGACACGGGCCCGACUCCUACGGGAGGCAGCAGUAAGGAAUAUUGGUCAAUGGACGCAAGUUUGAACCAGCCAUGCCGCGUGAAGGAUGAAGGUCCUCUGGAUUGUAAACCUCUUUUAUGGGGGACGAAACCCGGAUAUUCUUAUCCGAUUGACGGUACCUCAGGAAUAAGCACCGGCUAACUCC